CUUUGAGCUUCCACUACUACCUCUUAUAUAUUAUGUAUCUUUCUAGCUACCUCUCAUAAGAGGAAUUCUAAUUCAUUCAUUUAGGUUUACAAUAAUCAGUCCUCAUUUUUCUCUCUCACCCAUUUUUUCCUCCUUUCUCCUUAGCAAGUAUAGUACAAAGCUCCAUGUCUGUCUCAACUAUUCCAGCACCAAAAUUAGGGGAGAGAUUGUGUGAAAAUGGAUUUGAACAUCCCAAAAUUCUUCCUGCCAUUGAUGAUGCCCAUGGAGGAGUUAUUGUUGACUUGAAUGAGCCUAUGGACCCACAACAUUUUGCUACAUUGCUUAGGUCUUCACUUCUACAUUGGAACCUUAAGGGAAAACAUGGUGUUUGGAUAAAGUUACCUAUCAAU